GAGAUUCCCCCAGUAGCGGCGAGCGAACGGGGAGCAGCCCAGAGUCUGAAUCAGCUUGUGUGUUAGUGGAACGGCCUGGAAAGUCCGACGGUACAGGGUGAUAGUCCCGUACACCAAAAUGCACAGGCUGUGAACUCGAAGAGUAGGGCGGGACACGUGGUAUCCUGUCUGAAUAUGGGGGGACCAUCCUCCAAGGCUAAAUACUCCUGACUGACCGAUAGUGAACCAGUACCGUGAGGGAAAGGCGAAAAGAAC
rnacentral:rRNA from 1 species